rnacentral:ncRNA from 1 species
CGCUGCUCAGAGCAAAGCCAUCGAAAGGUGGCGUCGCAGAGUCACGGGGCUAAAGCGAAAUCCGCUACGCCAGCCGAGCCGCCAGC